CUGCCACAACGGCUUCCUGGCGUGGCAGGGAUCAUUCAAAUGGAGCA
rnacentral:ncRNA from 1 species